rnacentral:rRNA from 1 species
AUUGGACGCUGGCGGCAGGCCUAACACAUGCAAGUCGAACGGUAGCACAGAGGAGCUUGCUCCUUGGGUGACGAGUGGCGGACGGGUGAGUAAUGUCUGGGAAACUGCCCGAUGGAGGGGGAUAACUACUGGAAACGGUAGCUAAUACCGCAUAACGUCGCAAGACCAAAGAGGGGGACCUUCGGGCCUCUUGCCAUCGGAUGUGCCCAGAUGGGAUUAGCUAGUAGGUGGGGUAACGGCUCACCUAGGCGACGAUCCCUAGCUGGUCUGAGAGGAUGACCAGCCACACUGGAACUGAGACACGGUCCAGACUCCUACGGGAGGCAGCAGUGGGGAAUAUUGCACAAUGGGCGCAAGCCUGAUGCAGCCAUGCCGCGUGUAUGAAGAAGGCCUUCGGGUUGUAAAGUACUUUCAGCGAGGAGGAAGGCGUUGUGGUUAAUAACCGCAACGAUUGACGUUACUCGCAGAAGAAGCACCGGCUAACUCCGUGCCAGCCGCCGCGGUAAAAGGG